GACGAACGCUGGCGGCGUGCUUAACACAUGCAAGUCGAACGGAAAGGCCCCUUUGGGGGUCUCGAGUGGGGAACGGGUGGGUAACACGUGAGUAAACUGCCCUUGACUUCGGGGUAACUUCAGGAAACUGGGGCUAAUACCGGGUAGGAAUCCUUGCCGCAUGGGGGGGGGUGGGAAGGUUCGGCGGUUUUGGAUGGACUCGCGGCUUAUCAGCUUGUUGGUGGGGUAGUGGCUUACCAAGGCUUUGACGGGUAGCCGGCCUGAGAGGGCGACCGGCCACAUUGGGACUGAGAUACGGCCCAGACUCCUACGGGAGGCAGCAGUGGGGAAUAUUGCACAAUGGGCGGAAGCCUGAUGCAGCAACGCCGCGUGCGGGAUGACGGCCUUCGGGUUGUAAACCGCUUUCAGCAGGGGCGAAGCUUGUGGUGACGGUACCUGCAGAAGAAGCACCGGCUAACUACGUG
rnacentral:rRNA from 1 species